UUAAUACUCUUUCCGUCUGGAAAUAUUUAUUGAAAAAAGGAUGUAUUUAGACGCAUUUUAGUUUUAGAUACAUUCAUUUUUACCUAUUUCUCCGACAAGUAUUUUCGGACGGAGGGAGUACUUU
rnacentral:pre_miRNA from 1 species